AGCGAACGCUGGCGGCAGGCUUAACACAUGCAAGUCGAGCGGGCCCUUCGGGGUCAGCGGCGGACGGGUGAGUAACGCGUGGGAACGUGCCUUCUGGUCUGGAAUAACCCUGGGAAACUAGGGCUAAUACCGGAUACGCCCUUUUGGGGGAAGGUUUACUGCCGGAAGAUCGGCCCGCGUCUGAUUAGCUAGUUGGUGGGGUAACGGCCUACCAAGGCGACGAUCAGUAGCUGGUCUGAGAGGAUGAUCAGCCACACUGGGACUGAGACACGGCCCAGACUCCUACGGGAGGUAGCAGUGGGGAAUAUUGGACAAUGGGCGCAAGCCUGAUCCAGCCAUGCCGCGUGAGUGAUGAAGGCCUUAGGGUUGUAAAGCUCUUUUAUCCGGGACGAUAAUGACGGUACCGGAGGAAUAAGCCCCGGCUAACUUCGUG
rnacentral:rRNA from 1 species